rnacentral:rRNA from 1 species
UAACACGUAGGAUCCGAGCGUUAUCCGGAUUUACUGGGCGUAAAGCGCGUGUAGGUGGUCUGUUAAGUUAGGUGUUAAAUCUCUCGGCUCAACUGGGAGGUGUCGCUUAAAACUGGCAGACUGGAGGACGGUAGAGGAAGGUGGAAUUCCGGGUGUAGUGGUGAAAUGCGUAGAUAUCCGGAGGAACAUCAGUGGCGAAGGCGGCCUUCUGGACCGCUCCUGACACUCCAACGCGAAAGCUAGGGGAGCAAACGGG